CCCAUUGUUUUUCAAACAAAAAGAAGCAGAAUGCUUCUUCUUCCCUGCUCCCUUUCCAUUUUUCUUUGCUAGGAAUUCAACCUAGCUUGCGCCACCCUGGAGGAUCAUCGGUGCCACGCACCUCCACCCCACCGCCGGUUCACGGAUCAAGACCAGGUAAGCCCUCCUUUCUCUUUUAAAACUUUGUUUGAUUAUUUUCAAAAAUAAGGAAAAAAAAAGAAAGGAAAAAAAAUGUAGAUGCACAACAAAGGCUAAAAACCUUGAAAAAAAAAUUAUAAUUACCUUUGAUUCUAUUGGAUGGUAUUAAAAGUUUACUCAGAAAUCUGGUAUAUUUCUCUGUAUUUCUCUUGAUUCCCCCGAAAAAAAACUCUCCUUUAUACCGUAUUUUCAAUGGCUUUUUGUAGCCUAGAAAUAAAACAAGUCUCCUCCUGUUACUAUGCUUCUUGUUGUUUUCUGUUGAAGAUAUAGCUGCGAAAAUCUCGGAAUCGAGAGGCGUGGCGGAGUAGGACGCUGGUGAGAGGCGUGCGGCGCGAGGACUCAUGCAACAAUUUUGAGUCUCUGUUCGUUUGGGCCUUGUUUGGGUCUAUUUUUGUGCCUAUUUUCCUUGUAUUGGAUCAUGGCAUGAAAUUGGUCCUACAGUUACAUUGCUACCAAUUGAGUUUUUUUUUUUAUUAUUUCAAAAUGUCACACCGACCAACUUAACAAAAAAAGAAAUAAUAGUGUUAACAAUUGAAUUUAAAUUUUUUAAAAUGUAAAAAGUAGAUCUAUUAAAUUCCUGCAAAUAAAAGUAUAUGGACUAAAUUCUAAAUUUAUGAAAAGUAUAAGGACUUAUUGUAUAUUUUUAAACUUAUAGAUGUAAGUGUUAAAAUAAAAAUAUGAUAUGACAUAUUGAGAGAAAGCCUAUCUGAAAUUGAUUCACUCACAUGCAUCCAAAUAUAUGAAGCAAAUUGAGAAAAUGAUAACAAAUAAGAAAAAGAAAAUGUAUUUCCUUCCCCCAAAUGCUUCAAAGCUCCAUUGAAAUUUGAAAGGACUAUGUCUUCAUUUGUUUUUAAUGGUUGAAAUGAAAACUACUAAAUAUGGAAGCAAAGCUCGUGGUUGGUCCUAAAAGUUCGAGGAGGGGUUGACUAAAACUCUAAAAAAAUUUCAGGGAUUUAAUAGAAUUUAAAAAAAAAUUUGACCCAAAAUUUUCAAAAUUAGAUUAGUGGUUGAAUCGAUUAGGUCACAAAUUAGAUUAAACAAAUUAUUAAAAAUUAAUAAAAAAUAAAAAAUUCAGUUCGACUGUUUUUUGUCUGGUUCAA
rnacentral:lncRNA from 1 species